AUGAAGGAUUUAGGAGUGGCUGAUGUCAUUCUGAACAUCAAGUUGUUGAGAGAUGAUGAUGAUGGGAUUACAUUGCUUCAAUCUCACUAUGUGGAAAAGAUCUUGAGUCGCUUUGGCUAUAGUGACUGCAAGCCCUCUCCAACACCAUAUGAUGCUAGCGUGCUGCUUCGAAAGAAUCGAAGAAUUGCUAGAGACCAAUUGAAAUAUUCACAGAUUAUUGACUCGCUUAUGUACUUAGCCAGUGCUACGAAACCUGACAUCUCUUUUGCUGUUAGCAAACUGAGCCGGUUUGUCUCAAAACCAGGAGAUGUGCAUUGGAAAGCUCUAGAAAAAGUUUUGCGUUAUUUGAAAAGUAUUGCAAAUUAUGGAAUUCACUAUACUGGGCAUCCAAAGGUGCUUGAAGGGUAUAAGCGACUCGAAUCCCCACUGGCUGGGGAUGCUCUAAGGUUUGCGGCAAGCAUUUGA
rnacentral:rRNA from 1 species